UACGUAGGGGGCAAGCGUUGUCCGGAAUCAUUGGGCGUAAAGCGCGCGUAGGCGGCCCGGUAAGUCCGUUGUGAAAGUCAAAGGCUCAACCUUUGAACGCCGAUGGAUACUGCCGGGCUAGAGUCCGGAAGAGGCGAGUGGAAUUCCUGGUGUAGCGGUGGAAUGCGCAGAUAUCAGGAGGAACACCAAUAGCGAAGGCAGCUCGCUGGGACGGUACUGACGCUGAGGCGCGAAAGCGUGGGGAGCAAACGGG
rnacentral:rRNA from 1 species